AAGUGAUAAGACGUCACUAUGAGAUUAGGCUGUAAAGACUGUGUCUUCAGUCUUGGGCACUGUCUCUCACUUUUGCCCCCCUCUUUUAUCUUUCGUGCUGGGAAGUGAGCUGCCAUGCUGUGAACAGCCAGCCCUGUGAAGAGGACCACAGCCAGUAAGGAACCGAAGCCUGGCAACAACCAUGUGAGUGAGCUUGGAAGAGGAUUCCUCCUGCAGUUGUGCCUUCCGGUGAGAUAGCAGCACUGGACCACAAUCUCAUGAGAGAUCUUGAGCCAGAGGCACACAGCUAAGCCACGCCCAGAUUCCUGACCCACAGGAACUGUGAGAUGACAACUGCUGUUUUAAGGACUGACUCUGGAACUGUGUGAGGAACUGUGGGAUUCUACUGACACUUGGACAGGGCCCCGUGAACAGCUCUCAACUGACCAACGAAGAGCUGCUUGGUGUGUGGAUGACAGUUCCAAGGUGAAUCGACAGCAUCCUGUUUGGAAGGAUGCCACUCUUGAUCAAAGAAGGUAAGAUCACAUUAGCUUGGCAGUUGAAUUGCAUUCUGAAGAAAUGAACAAUAACAAAAGCUCCCGUGUUUGGUUUUUUACUGACUCAUGGACAGUCACCAGUGG
rnacentral:lncRNA from 10 species